rnacentral:rRNA from 1 species
UGGGGAAUUUUGCACAAUGGGGGAAACCCUGAUGCAGCGACGCCGCGUGAUUUAGAAGGCCUUCGGGUUGUAAAAAUCUUUUCUAUGGGAAGAAAAUGACAGUACCAUAGGAAUAAGGACCGGCUAAUUACGUGCCAGCAGCCGCGGUAAUACGUAAGGUCCGAGCGUUGUCCGGAAUCAUUGGGCGUAAAGGGUACGUAGGCGGGUAAGCAAGUUAGAAGUGAAAUCCUAUAGCUCAACUAUAAUAAGCUUUUAAAACUGCUCAUCUUGAGGUAUGGAAGGGAAAGUGGAAUUCCUAGUGUAGCGGUGAAAUGCGCAGAUAUUAGGAGGAAUACCGGUGGCGAAGGCGACUUUCUGGCCAUAACCUGACGCUGAGGUACGAAAGCGUGGGUAGCAAACAGG